AGAGUUUGAUCCUGGCUCAGAAUAAACGUUGGCGGCGUGCUUAACACAUGCAAGUCGAGCGAGAAAGGUCUUCGGACUGAGUACAGCGGCAAACGGGUGAGUAACACGUGGGAAUCUACCUUUUAGUGAAGAAUACCCUCGAGAAAUCGAGGUUAAUACUGCAUACGUCUCGCAAGAGAGAAAGAUGGCCUCUUUGCUGU
rnacentral:rRNA from 1 species